rnacentral:rRNA from 1 species
CCUACGGGAGACAGCAGUGGGGAAUAUUGGGCAAUGGAGGAAACUCUGACCCAGCAACGCCGCGUGAAUGAUGAAGGUCUUCGGAUUGUAAAGUUCUUUUCUAAGGGAAGAAGAAAGUGACGGUACCUUAGGAAUAAGCCUCGGCUAACUACGUGCCAGCAGCCGCCGUAAUACGUAGGCGGCACGCGUUAUCCGGAAUGACUGGGCGGAAUGGGUGCGUAGGUGGUUUGGUAAGUUGGUUGCGAAACUGCUGGGCUCAACCUCGGCACUACUACCAAAACUGGCAAACUGGAGUGCAGAAGGGGCAAAUGGAAUUCCUGGUGUAGCGGUGGAAUGCGUAGAUAUUAGGAGGAACACCAGUGGCGAAGGCGAUUUGCUGGACUGUAACUGACACUGAGGUACGAAAGCGUGGGGAGCAAACAGGAUUAGAUACCCUUGUAGUC